CUCUCCAAACAAAGUGGGUUUCACCUUUCAGUUCUUGAAUCUUCAUUAGUUCACGUCGUAAGUUUUCUUGGUGCUACCUCUAACACAAAGCAUUAAGUGUGCUAAUAAAAUGUUAUAGGUUGCUGCCCUGUUUU